ensembl:lncRNA
CGGUGGAGCUCGGCGAGCCACCAGCGGAGGGGCUCUCGCUGCCAGCCGCGGAGGGACCCGCUCAGCCGGAGGUCAGCGAACCGGAGGGACCUCCACGUCUAGCGCGGCCUCCACGCCAUCCACGUCCAGUGGGUCCACGUCAGCGACCGGCGCGUCAUAGACCAUGUGCCACGCCUCGCUGUUGCUCACUGGAGCAGCGACGCCGCCACCGGAUCCGUGGCAGGCCACCAGAACCGUUCCGCCGCCACCGGACCCGUGGCAGGCCGCCGGAGGAGCAGCGCCGCCGCCACCAGAUCCGUGGCAGGCCACCAGAACCGUUCCGCCGCCACCGGACCCGUGGCAGGCCGCCGGAGGAGCAGCGCCGCCGCCACCGGAUCCGUGGCAGGCCACCUGAAGCGUUCCGCUUCCAUCAUGGGGUUGGAGGUAGGCCGCCCGAACUGUUUUCCCACCACUGCCUGACCCGUAGCGAGUUUUGCCUGCUUGCGGUCCACUGGGUCGGCCGCAAGAACUGUUGUUCCCACCAUGGCAGUGGUUGGACAUUUGAACUGGGGUUUUGGGGCCCUCCGUCCGGGACCCCCCGCCUGGUGGGUGUGGCCCUGCCAGCUGACCGGUCCCACCCAGGAAUCCACACACACCUGGCGCCGAUCAAGCCUCGUCAGAGGAGCUUCAAAACAGUGUGGCUGAGAGCUCCUCGACGCUGGAUCGUUGAGUGACUUCCCGAGGAAUUGUGGCGACCAGGAGGCAGCACACGGAGAGUACACAGGGAACGGAGACAGAGCACGGAGCACGGGAUAAAGGAG